CCCUCGCCUGACCAAAUCGCUUUCGAAGCUCCAAACGGAGACGGGCAGCCCCUUUUCCGGUGUUGCUCGUCUCGCCAUGUUCCAAGCUUUGGGAGAAAGUCCCCGGACAGCUUUUUCUUUCAGGGAAAAAAGCGAUGCGGAAACGCGCCGCCGUAACGACAUCUGCGGCUUAUCUCUGCCCAUUUUAUGGGAAGCCAUCCGCUUUUUUCCUCUCCUCUGCCCUCUCGUUUCCCUGGACUGUUUCUGUUGACUUUUCUCUUUUCAUGCUUGCAUCCUUUGUCUUGAGUCUCCUGGUUUGUCGGGGAAGUUUCUUUCUUACUGUUCAACUUUCCUUUUCUUCUGUCAGCCUUUCCGCUCGUUUUCCUCGUUUCCUGUCUUUUUUCUCUUUCUGAAGUCUCUUAUUCCAAACUCGCUCUCUCGUUUCUUUCGCUGUUCUGUUCUCGCCAAGUCUUGGACAUGGCCUUGGAAGCUUGUGCCUUUUUCGGAUCGACGAGGUAGUUUUUCUUCUCGCGAGCUGCCUUUUCGCCUUCCUUUCGCCUGUCUCGCCGUCGAAUUUUUUGUUUGUUUCUAUGCCUGGAAUGGGGGACCAGCGAUGGCUUGCGCGGUGGCAAAGACUGGAAGUUUGGAGAAGUUUGUUCUGUUCUGUUCCGGUUUUGGACGUUGUCUUUCUCUCCUUGUCCUUCUUCUCAUCAGGCAUCGGCACCACCUAUGGACGAAGAUAUGAGUCCGCUGCUGGUGCCUAUGGGAGGGAGGGCUAGAAGAGACGGGCGGCAUCUAGGACGGCAUGGGGCAUGAUGAGCCUUUUCGUUUCGGUGUGAGCUUUCUGCGUCGGAGGUUUUCCGGACCGGGUUGGGAACGGAUGAGGGAUACGCGGAUUGGGUAGACGUUCGGGAGAUGGGGGGUGGUGAGGGGGUUGGAGGGCGUUUGAUCUCCGAAGGUCUGGGGGAGGUCGCGGGCUUCUUCGGUCAUUGAAGAGAUGGGAUUGGGAUGGUGAGAGGCUACAAAGGAGAGAGUGGGGAGGGACUGACGAGAGAGGGAGAGAUGGGGAGCAUAUGGGGGAGAGAGGACGGGAGGGUCGGCAAGAGACUUGGGGAAGGGCGAGAGAGGAGCCAUGAUCCGGCGGAUGGGGAGGAGAGAGGCGGCGGGUUGCUCGCAUUGAAGGGAGGGGAGACGAUGGGAGUGGGAAAAGGGAAUGGGAGGGUGUGGAAGGAGACAAGUGUCGUUGGCUUCCCGGGCUGGGGAGUAUUUCGUCCGAAUAACAACAGGGAUGCGAUUGCUCGCCGGAUGCAGAAACGCCUCUCCGGUGAGUUACUCGACGGGGCUUAUUCUCGGCGCGAGG
rnacentral:RNase_MRP_RNA from 2 species